rnacentral:rRNA from 1 species
GUAGGUGGCAAGCGUUGUCCGGAAUUAUUGGGCGUAAAGCGCGCGCAGGCGGUCCUUUAAGUCUGACGUGAAAGCCCACGGCUCAACCGUGGAGGGUCAUUGGAAACUGGGGGACUUGAGUACAGAAGAGGAAAGCGGAAUUCCAAGUGUAGCGGUGAAAUGCGUAGAGAUUUGGAGGAACACCAGUGGCGAAGGCGGCUUUCUGGUCUGUAACUGACGCUGAGGCGCGAAAGCGUGGGGAGCAAACAGGAUUAGAUACCCUGGUAGCCCACGCCGUAAACGAUGAGUGCUAAGUGUUAGGGGGUUUCCCGCCCCCCUUAGUGCUGCAGCUAACGCAUUAAGCACUCCGCCUGGGGGAGUACGGCCGCAAGGCUG